AUUGAACGCUGGCGGCGUGCUUAACACAUGCAAGUCGAUCGGUAACAGGUGUAGCAAUACAUGCUGACGAGAGGCGGACGGGUGAGUAAUGCUUGGGAAUCUGCCUAUUAGUGGGGGACAACCCGGGGAAACUCGGGCUAAUACCGCAUACGCUCUACGGAGGAAAGCCGGGGACCGCAAGGCCUGGCGCUAAUAGAUGAGCCCAAGUCGGAUUAGCUAGUUGGUAGGAACGGCCUACCAAGGCGACAAUCCGUAGCUGGUCUGAGAGGACGACCAGCCACACCGGAACUGAGACACGGUCCGGACUCCUACGGGAGGCAGCAAGUGGGGAAUAUUGGACAAUGGGGGCAACCCUGAUCCAGCGACGCCGCGUGGGUGAAGAAGGCCUGCGGGUU
rnacentral:rRNA from 1 species